UACAGAGGUCUCAAGCGUUGUUCGGAUUCAUUGGGCGUAAAGGGUGCGUAGGCGGCGCGGUAAGUCGGGUGUGAAAUCUCGGAGCUUAACUCCGAAACUGCAUUCGAUACUGCCGUGCUUGAGGACUGGAGAGGAGACUGGAAUUUACGGUGUAGUGGUGGAAUGCGUAGAGAUCGGGAGGAACACCAGUGGCGAAAGCGGCUCUCUGGACAUCUCCUGACGCUGAGGCGCGAAAGCGUGGGGAGCAAACGGG
rnacentral:rRNA from 1 species